AAAGCGUUAUGAGGGCAAUUUUUAACUAAUUUCUUGAAUCUCUUCCAAGCAUCACUCAAGGUUUCCUGAUCUCUUUGUUUAAAAUUAAUGAUGUCUAUUUGCCACUUU